rnacentral:sRNA from 1 species
CUUCGACCAAGGUUCGACUCGAGCGCCAGCGAGAGAACGUUGCCGCAGGCAACGGCCCGAAGGGCGAGAAGCGAUAGCGACGAGUUAUCCUUCCCCCUCUAUUC